rnacentral:rRNA from 1 species
CUACGGGCUGCUGCAGUGAGGAAUAUUGGUCAAUGGGCGAGAGCCUGAACCAGCCAUCCCGCGUGCAGGAUGACGGCCCUAUGGGUUGUAAACUGCUUUUCUACUAGAAGAAACCUGAUUACGUGUAAUCAGUUGCCGGUAUAGUAGGAAUAAGCAUCGGCUAACUCCGUGCCAGCAGCCGCGGCAAUACGGAGGAUGCAAGCGUUAUCCGGAUUCAUUGGGUUUAAAGGGUGCGCAGGUUGGCUUUUAAGUCAGUGGUGAAAUGCUGCCGCUUAACGGUAGAAUUGCCAUUGAUACUGAGAGUCUUGAAUAUGGUUGAGGUAGGCGGAAUGUGUUGUGUAGCGGUGAAAUGCAUAGAUAUGACACAGAACACCGAUUGCGAAGGCAGCUUACUAAGCCAUUAUUGACGCUGAGGCACGAAAGCGUGGGGAGCGAACAGGAUUAGAUACCCCCGUAGUC